UACAGAGGUCUCGAGCGUUCAACGGAUUCAUUGGGCUUAAAGCGUACGUAGGCGGGUGUGCAGGCGUCGUGUGAAAGCCCUCGGCUCAACCGAGGAAUUGCACGGCGAACCGCACAUCUUGAGACAAGUAGGGGCGGUCGGAACGAUAGGUGGAGCGGUGAAAUGCGUUGAUAUCUAUCGGAACGCCGAUGGUGAAGACAGGCCGCUGGGCUUGUUCUGACGCUGAGGUACGAAAGCAUGGGUAGCGAACGGG
rnacentral:rRNA from 1 species